GACAGAGGGGGCAAGCGUUGCUCGGAAUUACUGGGCGUAAAGGGCGCGUAGGCGGAAUGGCAAGUCGGUCGUGAAAUCCUUCGGCUCAACCGAAGAACGUCGAUCGAAACUGCCGUUCUUGAGGAUUGCAGAGGAGACUGGAAUUCCCGGUGUAGCGGUGAAAUGUGUAGAGAUCGGGAGGAACACCGGUGGCGAAGGCGGGUCUCUGGGCCUGUACUGACGCUGAGGAGCGAAAGCGUGGGGAGCGAACAGG
rnacentral:rRNA from 1 species